CCUACGGGAGGCAGCAGUGAGGAAUAUUGGUCAAUGGGCGGGAGCCUGAACCAGCCAAGCCGCGUGAGGGAAGAAGGUACAGCGUAUCGUAAACCUCUUUUGUCAGGGAACAAAGGCGGGGACUAGUCCCCGGAUGAGGGUACCUGAAGAAAAAGCAUCGGCUAACUCCGUGCCAGCAGCCGCGGUAAUACGGAGGAUGCGAGCGUUAUCCGGAUUUAUUGGGUUAAACGGGUGCGCAGGCGGCCUGUUAAGUCAGCGGGAAAAGCCCGGGGCUCAACCCCGGCGAGCCGUUGAAACUGGCGGGCUGGAGUUGGAGAGAGGCACGCGGAAUGCGCGGUGUAGCGGUGAAAUGCUUAGAUAUCGCGCAGAACCCCGGUUGCGAAGGCAGCGUACCGGCUCCACACUGACGCUGAGGCACGAAAGCGUGGGUAUCGAACAGGAUUAGAUACCCGGGUAGUC
rnacentral:rRNA from 1 species